rnacentral:rRNA from 1 species
AUUGAACGCUGGCGGCAGGCCUAACACAUGUAAGUCGAGCGGAGCGUCGGACGGGUGGGUAAUGACUAGGUAUCAGACUGGCAGUGGGGGAUAGAGUACGGCAACGAGCGCUAGUACAGCCUACUUUCAAUCGAGCCUAGGUCGGAGUAGCUAGCUGGUGGGGUAAAAGCAUACCAAGGCGACGAUCCGUAGCUGGUCUGAGAGGAUGGGCAGUCACACUGGAACUGAGACACGGUCCAGACUCCUACGUGAGGCAGCAGUGGGGAAGAUUGGACAAUGGGCGCAAGCCUGAUCCAGCCAUGCCGCGUGUGUGAAGAAGGGCUUCGGGUUGUAAAGUACUUUAAGGUGGGAGGCGUUACCAGCAGAAUAAGCACCGGCUAACUACGUGCCAGCCGCCGCGGUAAUAC